GGCCUGGUGGUCUAGUAGUAUGAUACCUUGUUAGGGUGUAUUGACUUUCGAGGUGGCCCCGGGUUCAAUUCCCGGCCAGGCCC